CGUGUAGGCGGUUUUAUAAGUCUGAUGUGAAAGCCCCGGGCUCAACCCGGGAAGUGCAUUGGAUACUGUAAGACUUGAAUACGGGAGAGGGCAGUGGAAGUUCCUAGUGUAGGAGUGAAAUCCGUAGAUAUUAGGAGGAACACCGGUGGCGAAGGCGGCUGCCUGGACCGAUAUUGACGCUGAGACGCGAAAGCGUGGGUAGCAAACA
rnacentral:rRNA from 1 species